CCCCUUAGAUGUUCUGGGCCGCACGCGCGCUACACUGAUGCAUUCAACAAGCCUAGCCUUGACCGAGAGGUCCGGGUAAUCUUUGAAACUGCAUCGUGAUGGGGCUAGAUUAUUGCAAUUAUUAAUCUUCAACGAGGAAUGCCUAGUAAGCGUGAUUCAUCAAAUCGCGUUGAUUACGUCCCUGCCCUUUGUACACACCGCCCGUCGCUCCUACUGAUUGAAUGUGUUGGUGAGGAGCUCGGAUUGGCAGCAGUUGGUGGUUCGCCACCGGCUAUUGCUGAGAAGUCCUCCAAACCGCCCCAUUUAGAGGAAGGAGAAGUCGUAACA
rnacentral:rRNA from 1 species